rnacentral:rRNA from 1 species
ACUCAAAUGAAUAGACGGGGGCCCGCACAAGCGGUGGAUUAUGUGGUUUAAUUCGAAGCAACGCGCAGAACCUUACCUGGGUUUGAAAUCCCGCGAAUCCCGUAGAGAUAUGGGAGUGCCCUUCGGGGAAUGCGGAGACAGGUGCUGCAUGGCUGUCGUCAGCUCGUGUUGUGAAAUGUUGGGUUAAGUCUCGCAACGAGCGCAACCCCUAUCUUUAGUUGCCAGCAUUAAGUUGGGCACUCUAGAGAGACUGCCAGGGUUAACCUGGAGGAAGGUGGGGAUGACGUCAAGUCCUCAUGGCCCUUAUGUCCAGGGCUACACACGUAAUACAAUGGCCAGUAUAAAGGGAUGCGAGCCCGCGAGGGGGAGCUAAUCUCAAAAAGCUGGUCUCAGUCCGGAUUGGAGUCUGCAACUCGACUCCAUGAAGUUGGAAUCGCUAGUAAUCGCAGAUCAGCACGCUGCGGUGAAUACGUUCCCGGGCCUUGCACACACCGCCCGU